GAGGAGGAGGAGGAAGAAACUGCAGAGGAUGGAGAGGAAGAGGAUGAAGGGGAUGAAGAAGAUGAGGAAGAAGAAGAAGAGGAUGACGAAGGGCCCGCGCUGAAGAGAGCUGCUGAAGAGGAGGAUGAAGCGGAUCCCAAGAGGCAGAAGACAGAAAAUGGGGCGUCGGCAUGAGCCCCUGCUAGUGGGCUUGGGGGUGGGAGGCCUCUCAGGGCCUGGAGGUGGGGUGGGAACACACAAGUACAGCCCCCCUUCUCCUGGCUCCCUGCUCUGGCCCUGCCCCAGAGCUGCCACCCUCAUCCUUCUCCCUAGCCUCCCAUUUCCACCUCUCCACACACUGCUCCUCCCUCACUGCCAUUGUUCCAUCUCCUGACCUGCCUCAUCUGAGCUCCCAGCUGGUCCUCACUUGCCCCUCACCCAUUCCUUGCUCUCUUCCUGCCUUCCCUCAACAUCCCAUCUGUCCUAGUCCUUGAAUAGCCUCACCCUCUGCAUUCCCAGCCUCUUGUCCUGCCCUUCCCUCUCCUGCCUGAUCCCUGGGUCUCCCUCAGAUUCCCUCCUCUCAGACAGCGCCAGGCCAGGGUGGGGCCGGGGUUGGGGCCAAGCCCCGAAGCUGCCCCCCUCCCCUCCCCUUUUUGUAUAAUUUAAUAAAGAAACGGUCGCGCUUCUGUUUUUAA